rnacentral:lncRNA from 1 species
AAGUAAGGCUAUAGCCUUAACUUUUCGUCCAUUUUUAGCCACUUAUGUCAUUUUUCAUAAGUGGGCCAAAAACAGCAAAAAAGUAAGGCUAUAGCCUUAACUUUUCGUCCAUUUGUAGCCACUUAUGUCAUUUUUCAUAGAGACGAGAAAGUGUUAAGUAGAAUAAAAAAGAAUUAAAGCAAGUGUAGGCGAGAUGGUCUAGUGGUAAGGACAAAGUGUUGCAAGUGCGUGAAGCCAGGUUCAAGUCGUGGUUGUGCCAAGAGCAUUUUAAUGCCGGGCGUCGUUGUUAAUUAAUUCCACCCGAGACGAGAAAGAGUUAAGUAGAAUAAAAAAGAAGUUAAAGCAAGUGUAGGCGAGAUGGUCUAGUGGUAAGGACAAAUUGUUGCAAGUGCGUGAAGCCAGGUUCAAGUCGUGGUUGUGCCAAGAGCAUUUUAAUGCCGGGCGUCGUUGUUAAUUAAUUCCACCCAAGACGAGAAAGAGUUAAGUAGAAUAAAAAAGAAUUAAAGCAAGUGUAGGCGAGAUGGUCUAGUGGUAAGGACAAAGUGUUGCAAGUGCGUGACCCCAGGUUCAAGUCGUGGUUGUGCCAAGAGCAUUUUAAUGUCAGGCGUCGUUGUUAAUUAAUUCCACCCGAGACGAGAAAGCGUUAAGUAGAAUAAAAAAAAUUAAAGCAAGUGUAGGCGGAGAUGGUCUAGUGGUAAGGACAAAGUGUUGCAAGUGCGUGAAGCCAGGUUCAAGUCGUGGUUGUGCCAAGAGCAUUUUAAUGUCAGGCGUCGUUGUUAAUUAAUUCCACCCGAGACGAGAAAGAGUUAAGUAGAAUAAAAAAGAGUUAAAGCAAGUGUAGGCGAGAUGGUCUAGUGGUAAGGACAAAGUGUUGCAAGUGUGUGACCCCAGGUUCAAGUCGUGGUUGUGCCAAGAGCAUUUUAAUGUCAGGCGUCGUUGUUAAUUAAUUCCACCCGAGACGAGAAAGUGUUAAGUAGAAUAAAAAAGAGUUAAAGCAAGUGUAGGCGAGAUGGUCUAGUGGUAAGGACAAAGUGUUG